AUGCCUUAAACUGAUGAGUAAGGAAAAUAACGAUGCGGGGUGACGCCCGCAUCCUCGCUAGAGCUCGCGAGUUGAAUUUUUGAACGGGUACAGGUCUGACUAGCGAGUGUUUGGCCUACUUUGCUGGACGCCCUGGGUACCAGGAUCUACCCG